UUUUUCUUACAAAAGGGAUCCAAUCCAAACACCGAAUCAAGCGGCGGUAUCUUCCUUCCACCUCCUCCUCGUUUAGCAAAAAAGUAAACAAUAGCCCCUCCUCAAUCCUCCCUCCCUAUUUUCCUGAACGCAAGCCCGUUUAAUCCAACCCAUGGCGAGAUCCAUGAGAGCCACCGCCCGGCAAAUACCAUCUCCAUCUCCUACCGUCACCGUCACCCUAGAAAACCCCACCGCCUCCCCCUCCCCCUCCUCUCAGCCCCAAGAACACCAGCAACAACAGCAACAGCCGCAAACUCUCGUCCUCCGCCUGAAUCGCAAGAAGAAGAAGGUAACUUGGAAGGAGGGCACCGUGGACAACGAGUUCAUGCAGAAGAAGAGCUCCAAGAAGUGCUGCAUCUUCCACAAGCAGAAGCCCUUCGACGACGACGACAGCGACCAAGACGACGACGAACCCUUAAACGAAGACCACGCCUGUUGUUCGCAGGAUCACUGAUCGCUUUUUCUGCAGUCGCUUUGCCAAGGUUUGAAGGAAUCGAUUUGUGUAAGGUUCCCUCCCCGACCAUGAAGAACUCAGAUGGUGAUCAUGUUCAGAGAACAACUUUAUUAGAACUUGUGGCUCCAAGCACUGAAAUCAACCAAAGCUGAAGUUCUGCAGAAAAAAAGUCUACUCUUCUUUGUAACACCUCUUCUUCUUCAUAUUAGUUGGGCUUUUUGUCUGGAAUGUUGUUCUUGAUGACUUAUUAUACCCUUCCUGUGAA